rnacentral:rRNA from 1 species
GACGAACGCUGGAGGCAUGCUUAACACAUGCAAGUCGAACGAUGAAAUGGAGCUUGCUCCAUGGAUUAGUGGCGAACGGGUGAGUAACACGUGAAUAACCUGCCCUUAAUUUUGGAAUAACCCAGGGAAACCUGGGCUAAUACCGGAUAAGUAAACCUGUGGCAUCACAUGGUUUUGGAAAGUUUUUCGAUUAAGGAUGGAUUCGCGGCCUAUCAGCUUGUUGGUGAGGUAAUGGCUCACCAAGGCGACGACGGGUAGCCGGCCUGAGAGGGUGAACGGCCACACUGGGCCUGAGACACGGCCCAGCGUCCUACGGGAGGCAGCAGUGGGGAAUAUUGCGCAAUGGACGAAAGUCUGACGCAGCGGCGCCUCGUGAGGGACGAAGGUCUUCGGAUUGUAAACCUCUUUCAGCAGGGACGAAGCGAAAGUGACGGUACCUGCAGAAGAAGCACCGGCUAACUAUGUGCCAGCCGCCGCCGUAA